AGUGAACGCUGGCGGUAGGCCUAACACAUGCAAGUCGAACGGCAGCACAGUAAGAGCUUGCUCUUACGGGUGGCGAGUGGCGGACGGGUGAGGAAUACAUCGGAAUCUACUUUUUCGUGGGGGAUAACGUAGGGAAACUUACGCUAAUACCGCAUACGACCUACGGGUGAAAGCAGGGGAUCUUCGGACCUUGCGCGAUUGAAUGAGCCGAUGUCGGAUUAGCUAGUUGGCGGGGUAAAGGCCCACCAAGGCGACGAGCCGUAGCUGGUCUGAGAGGAUGAUCAGCCACACUGGAACUGAGACACGGUCCAGACUCCUACGGGAGGCAGCAGUGGGGAAUAUUGGACAAUGGGCGCAAGCCUGAUCCAGCCAUACCGCGUGGGCGAAGAAGGCCUUCGGGUUGUAAAGCCCUUUUGUUGGGAAAGAAAAGCAGCAGGUUAAUACCCCGCUGUUCUGACGGUACCCAAAGAAUAAGCACCGGCUAACUUCGUG
rnacentral:rRNA from 1 species